UGGGGGAAAGAGUAGCUUUGGUUGCUCUACGGUCAGUUAUGGUCUGAGUUCGGCAAGCAGUGGAGAGGUCUGGUCCAACAGCGGAAGAGGUUCGUGUUGUGGCUGUUUCCAAAACCAAGCCCCUUUCUCUCAUCCGUUAGGUCUAUGACUCCGGCCAUAGAUGCUUUGGUGAAAACAACGUUCAGGAGAUUCUCAAGAAAGCUCCUCAGCUUCCUGAUGACAUAGAAUGGCAUUUUAUUGGACAUUUACAGAGCAACAAAGUGAAAUCUCUUCUGGCUGGAGUUCCUAAUAUAAGCAUGGUUGAGGGUGUGCACGGUGAGAAG